rnacentral:rRNA from 1 species
UAGGGAAUCUUCCGCAAUGGACGAAAGUCUGACGGAGCAACGCCGCGUGAACGAUGAAGGCCUUCGGGUCGCAAAGUUCUGUUGUUAGGGAAGAACAAGUACCGUUCGAAUAGGUCGGUACCUUGACGGUACCUAACGAGAAAGCCACGGCUAACUACGUGCCAGCAGCCGCGGUAAUACGUAGGUGGCAAGCGUUGUCCGGAAUUAUUGGGCGUAAAGCGCGCGCAGGCGGUCUCUUAAGUCUGAUGUGAAAGCCCACGGCUCAACCGUGGAGGGUCAUUGGAAACUGGGAGACUUGAGUGCAGAAGAGGAGAGUGGAAUUCCAUGUGUAGCGGUGAAAUGCGUAGAUAUAUGGAGGAACACCAGUGGCGAAGGCGACUCUCUGGUCUGAAACUGACGCUGAGGCGCGAAAGCGUGGGGAGCAAACAGGAUUAGAUACCCUGGUAGUCCACGCCGUAAACGAUGAGUGCUAGGUGUUAGGGGUUUCGAUGCCCUUAGUGCCGAAGUUAACACAUUAAGCACUCCGCCUGGGGAGUACGACCGCAAGGUUGAAACUCAAAUGAAUUGACGGGGUCAUAGCUGUUUCCUG